rnacentral:rRNA from 1 species
UAGGGAAUCUUCGGCAAUGGACGAAAGUCUGACCGAGCAACGCCGCGUGAGUGAAGAAGGUUCUCGGAUCGUAAAACCUCUGUUGGUAGAGAAGAACGUUGGUGAGAGUGGAAAGCUCAUCAAGUGACGGUAACUACCCAGAAAGGGACGGCUAACUACGUGCCAC